rnacentral:rRNA from 1 species
ACGGGUGAGUAACACGUGGGUAACCUGCCCUGUACUCUGGGAUAAGCCUUGGAAACGAGGUCUAAUACCGGAUACGACCUUCUUCCGCAUGGUGGAGGGUGGAAAGUUCCGGCGGUAUGGGAUGGACCCGCGGCCUAUCAGCUUGUUGGUGGGGUAAUGGCCUACCGAGGCGACGACGGGUAGCCGGCCUGAGAGGGUGACCGGCCACACUGGGACUGAGACACGGCCCAGACUCCUACGGGAGGCAGCAGUGGGGAAUAUUGCACAAUGGGCGAAAGCCUGAUGCAGCGACGCCGCGUGAGGGAUGACGGCCUUCGGGUUGUAAACCUCUUUCAGCAGGGACGAAGCGCAAGUGACGGUACCUGCAGAAGAAGCACCGGCUAACUACGUGCCAGCAGCCGCGGUAAUACGUAGGGUGCGAGCGUUGUCCGGAAUUAUUGGGCGUAAAGAGCUCGUAGGCGGUUUGUCGCGUCGGCCGUGAAAACUUGGGGCUUAACCCCGAGCCUGCGGUCGAUACGGGCAGACUUGAGUUCGGCAGGGGAGACUGGAAUUCCUGGUGUAGCGGUGAAAUGCGCAGA